GGUUCCGUAGCCAAAUGGCAAAAAACGGAACCCUUAUGGAUUCGUCAUGUCUGUCUGUCUGUCUGUCCGUCCGUAUGUCACAGCCACUUUUUUCCGAAACUAUACGAACUAUAUUGUUGAAACUUAUUGGUAAGUAGAUGUAUUCUGUGAACCGCAUUAAGAUUUUCACACAAAAAUAGAAAAAAAAAAACAAUAAAUUUUGGGGGUUCCCCAUACUUAGAACUGAAACUUAAAAAUUUUUUUUUCAUCAAACCCAUACGUGUGGGGUUUCUAAUAUCAUUUUUUUCUAAACUGAAUAGUUUGCGCGAGAGACACUUCCAAAGUGGUAAAAUGUGUGUCGUCGUCCCCCCCCCCCUGUAACUUCUAAAAUAAGAGAAUGAUAAAACUAAAAAAAAUAUAUGAUGUACAUUACCAUGCAAACUUCCACCGAAAAUUGGUUUGAACGAGAUCUGAUCUAGUAAGUAGUUUUUUUUUAAUACGUCAUAAA